AAUGGAUGUUUUUCCUUAGUGACCAGCGGAGGGUCAUUACCGAGUUUACAACUCCCAAACCCCUGUGAACAUACCUUAAUGUUGCCUCGGCGGAUCAGCCCGCGCCCCGUAAAACGGGACGGCCCGCCAGAGGACCCUUAAACUCUGUUAUUAGUGUAACUUCUGAGUAAAAAAAACAAAUAAAUCAAAACUUUCAACAACGGAUCUCUUGGUUCUGGCAUCGAUGAAGAACGCAGCAAAAUGCGAUAAGUAAUGUGAAUUGCAGAAUUCAGUGAAUCAUCGAAUCUUUGAACGCACAUUGCGCCCGCCAGUAUUCUGGCGGGCAUGCCUGUUCGAGCGUCAUUUCAACCCUCAAGCACAGCUUGGUGUUGGGAUUCGCGGGGUAACCCGCGGUCCCCAAAUCGAUUGGCGGUCACGUCGAGCUUCCAUAGCGUAGUAAUUUAUUCUCGUUACUGGUAAUCGUCGCGGCCACGCCGUUAAACCCCAACUUCUGAAUGUUGACCUCGGAUCAGGUAGGAAUACCCGCUGAACUUAAGCAUAUCAAUAAGCCGGGAGGAA
rnacentral:rRNA from 1 species